rnacentral:rRNA from 1 species
ACGGCUCAGUAACACGUGGAUAAUCUGCCCUUAGGUGGAGGAUAACCUCGGGAAACUGAGAAUAAUACUCCAUAGAUCUAGGAUGCUGGAAUGCACUUAGAUUGAAAGUUCCGGCGCCUAAGGAUGAGUCUGCGGACUAUCAGGUAGUAGUCAGGGUAAAGGCCUGACUAGCCUACGACGGAUACGGGUUGUGAGAGCAAUAACCCGGAGACGAUAUCUGAGACACGAUAUCGGGCCCUACGGGGCGCAGCAGGCGCGAAACCUUCACAAUGUGCGAAAGCGCGAUGAGGGGAUCCCAAGUGCUUGCUCGUAAGAGUAAGCUGUUUUUAUGUCUAAAACGCAUAGAGAGUAAGGGCUGGGUAAGACGGGUGCCAGCCGCCGCGGUAAUACCUGCAGCUCAAGUGGUGACCGCUAUUAUUGGGCCUAAAACAUUCGUAGCCGGUUUGGUAAAUGCCUGGGUAAAUCGUGUAGCUUAACUAUACGAAUUCCGGGUAGACUGCCAAACUUGAGACCGGGAGAAGCUAGAGGUACUCCUUGGGUAGAGGUGAAAUUCUGUAAUCCUAGGGGGACCACCAGUGGCGAAGGCGUCUAGCUAGAACGGGUUUGACGGUGAGGAAUGAAGCCCUGGGGCGCAAACCGGAUUAGAUACCCGGGUAGUCCAGGGUGUAAACGCUGCUUGCUUGAUGUUAGUUGGGCUCCGAGCCCAAUUAGUGUCGGAGAGAAGUUGUUAAGCAAGCUGCCUGGGAAGUACGAUCGCAAGAUUGAAACUUAAAGGAAUUGGCGGGGGAGCACAGCAACGGGUGGAGCGUGCGGUUUAAUUGGAGUCAACGCCGG